rnacentral:rRNA from 1 species
CCUACGGGCGGCAGCAGUAGGGAAUAUUGCUCAAUGGGGGAAACCCUGAAGCAGCAACGCCGCGUGGAGGAUGAAGGUUUUCGGAUUGUAAACUCUUUUUGUUAGAGAAGAUAAUGACGGUAUCUAACGAAUAAGCACCGGCUAACUCCGUGCCAGCAGCCGCGGUAAUACGGAGGGUGCAAGCGUUAUUCGGAAUCACUGGGCGUAAAGAGCGCGUAGGCGGGAUAGCAAGUCAGAUGUGAAAUCCUAUGGCUUAACCAUAGAACUGCAUUUGAAACUGUUAUUCUAGAGUAUGGGAGAGGUAGGUGGAAUGCUUGGUGUAGGGGUGAAAUGCGUAGAGAUCAAGAGGAAUACUCAUUGCGAAGGCGACCUGCUAGAACAUAACUGACGCUGAGGCGCGAAAGCGUGGGGAGCAAACAGGAUUAGAUACCCUUGUAGUC